rnacentral:rRNA from 1 species
AUUGAACGCUGGCGGCAGGCCUAACACAUGCAAGUCGAGCGGAGCGGCGGACGGGUGAGUAAUGCCUAGGAAUCUGCCUGGUAGUGGGGGAUAACGUCCGGAAACGGGCGCUAAUACCGCAUACUAUCAGAUGAGCCUAGGUCGGAGUAGCUAGUGGGGGGGGUAAAGGCCUACCAAGGCGACGCUCCGUAACUGGUCUGAGAGGAUGAUCAGUCACACGGGAACUGAGACACGGUCAAGACUCCUACGGGAGGAAGCAGUGGGAAAUAUUCGAAAAUGGGCGAAAGCUUGACGCAGCCCUGCCGCGUGUGGGAAGAAGGUCUUCGGAUUGUAAAGCACUUUAAGUUGGGAGGCGUUACCAACAGAAUAAGCACCGGCUAACUUCGUGCCAGCAGCCGCGGUAAUUC